GUUGUUCUUUUCUUAUUCUAUAUAUAUUCCCUUCAUUUUUCCAUCACAAUACACAAACAAAUUACAUGACCCACAUUUCAUAAUCUUCUAGACUUGGAAGAAUAUUUUAAGUGUUCACAUGUAUUAAUCCAUGCACUUACGUACGUCAAUCAUAUUGUAUAGUUAUUAUACAUAUAUAUAUAUAUAUAUAUAUAUAUGUAUACAUAUAUAGACAAACUCAAUCCAGUUUCCAACAAACUACUCUCUCAAGUACCAGAGAAAAAAUGGAGUUUUUUAAGUCUUCUUCUUCUUCUUCUUCUUCUUCUUCUUUUUGUCAAUUACAGGUGCUGAUUUUGGUGAUAAUUAUUGGCUUUUCAACUUCCAAUCAGAAAACAAGUGUCGCAGAAGCCAGGCCACUGUCUUCUUCUUCUUCUUCUUCUUUCACUUCCUCGAAGUUUUUGGGGAGUUUGGGAAUGGUUUGCAAGUGUUGUGAUGGCGCCGGGGGAGAGUGCAAAACUACAUGGGUUGAGCCUUGCUCUCACCUCCAAUGUCAUCCAUGGAAGUUACUAUGAUCAUGAUUCAUAUUCUUUCUGCCUCCUUUUUGUUAGACCAAUAUUAAUUGUACAUAUAGAGCAUAUAUACAUACUAGCUGAAUGAUUCCAAGCAAUGCAUUUUGUAAGGAUUAAAUAUACAAUUACAAGUCUCCCUGCCCUGUUUUUGAAAUUUUCUUACUAAUUCCACUUAUGGCUUCUUAAUUAAUUGUUUGCUUCUUUGUAAAUAUUCGUUCAUAAAGACGACCAUAUUAAUAUUGGUAUGAACAUAUUGUUUCUUACUCAACACAUAACGAUGAUUAUGGUGCUAAAUAUAGAGAGAUUAAACAAGUUCAUGAUCAAUAAUUUCUGAAUUUUGAUCCAGUGAGCUAUUAGUCUAAUUGUCUCAGUACUAUUUCUUUCUUUGUCCAUAUUAAGUACCGAUCGAGAGGAACAAGACAUGGUUGGUCAUGAUUAAUUGGAUCAUUGACCUAGCUAGCUAGUACUAGCUAGUAGAUAGCAGUUAAUUAUUUCUCUCUAGAAGGAAGGACGGUGUCAAACAUUGACUCGGCAGGAGGUUUCAUUAAUCAUCGUACCACACAAGUGUAUUAGCUAGGCUGUCUAACAUUGAUUAGUGACCACAAAAUGCCAGAUUAAAAGAGCUGCGAUCUAGCAAGCUUCUUUACGUACGUACUUCGAAUCCUCGGUAUGGUCAGUCAAAUCAUAUUUAAAUCAUCUUAUUUAAAUCUUUGAUAUUCUGGUCGUUUAGUGAUCAUGAAAAACAGAUCACAAUUUCAAAGAGAUGCAUGUGUAGGCUCUAAACCCACCACACUAUCAUAGAUGACUGUAAUGAUUAUCUAUGUAUUCGGUUAUUAUGAAAUUAACUUCAAAUCAUAUUUAACUCUUCAAAAUUAAUGAAAUACAGAAUCACAAUUUCAAAAAGAUAUGUAGCCUCCAGACCCACCACACCACACUAUUAUAGAUGACCGCUAGACUCAAGUUCAGAUCAAGUCUCAAAUUCACUAUUUCAAGACUUAACCCAUUACAAGUUCACCCAUAAGAUCAUGAGGUUAGUAUGCAUGGUAAUACCCUAAUGUCUUAAUUGACAUUAAUCAUUAGAACUUAUAUUUAUAUAUUUGUUCUUGAGUGGGCAAGUUAUUCGACCCAAAAUUUAAUUAAAAGUAUGAGGCCGAGACCAGGAGGAAAUUUCUGCAUAGCCCAACCCAUUUUGUAUUUCACUUGAAAUACUUAGGUAACUUGUAGAAACUGUAGGCCCAAUCAUUCUCUGAAUGAAACAAAUAAAUAUAACCCAUGCUUAAUCUUUUAAAUAUUGACUUAGCAUAAUAAAGAUUUCAAGUUUUCUCUAUGAUCGAUCGAUCGAUCCUCAUCUUUAAUUUUUUGGCCUGUUUGUUUGCCAUAGUUGAGGUGUUGCAUUCUCCUC
rnacentral:lncRNA from 1 species